rnacentral:rRNA from 1 species
GCUUGCAGAGAAUGGAUUAGUGGCGAACGGGUGAGUAACACGUGGGUAACCUGCCCAUAAGAGGGGGAUAACAUCCGGAAACGGAUGCUAAUACCGCAUAUCUCUUCGAGACGCCUGUCUCUUAGAUGAAAGGUGGCUUCGGCUACCACUUAUGGAUGGACCCGCGGCGUAUUAGCUAGUUGGUGAGGUAAUGGCUCACCAAGGCUGUGAUACGUAGCCGACCUGAGAGGGUGAUCGGCCACACUGGGACUGAGACACGGCCCAGACUCCUACGGGAGGCAGCAGUAGGGAAUCUUCCACAAUGGGUGCAAACCUGAUGGAGCAAUACCGCGUGAGUGAAGAAGGUCUUCGGAUCGUAAAGCUCUGUUGUUAGAGAAGAACAAGUCGGGUAGUAACCUGCCCCGACCUGAACG